CACUGCCGAGAAAAGCCUCUAGAUAGAAAAUAGGUGCCCGUACCGCAAACCGACACAGGUAGUCAAGAUGAGAAUUCUAAGGUGAGCGAGCGAACUCUCGUUAAGGAACUCGGCAAAAUGACCCCGUAACUUCGGGAGAAGGGGUGCUCUUUAGGGUUAACGCCCAGAAGAGCCGCAGUGAAUAGGCCCAAGCGACUGUUUAUCAAAAACACAGGUCUCUGCUAAACCGUAAGGUGAUGUAUAGGGGCUGACGCCUGCCCGGUGCUGGAAGGUUAAGAGGAGUGGUUAGCUUCUGCGAAGCUACGAAUCGAAGCCCCAGUAAACGGCGGCCGUAACUAUAACGGUCCUAAGGUAGCGAAAUUCCUUGUCGGGUAAGUUCCGACCCGCACGAAAGGCGUAACGAUUUGGGCACUGUCUCAACGAGAGACUCGGUGAAAUCAUAGUACCUGUGAAGAUGCAGGUUACCCGCGACAGGACGGAAAGACCCCGUGGAGCUUUACUGUAGCCUGAUAUUGAAAUUCGGCACAGCUUGUACAGGA
rnacentral:rRNA from 1 species